UCGAACGAACUCUGGUAUUGAUUGGUGCUUGCAUCAUGAUUUACAUUUGAGUGAGUGGCGAACUGGUGAGUAACACGUGGGAAACCUGCCCAGAAGCGGGGGAUAACACCUGGAAACAGAUGCUAAUACCGCAUAACAACUUGGACCGCAUGGUCCGAGUUUGAAAGAUGGCUUCGGCUAUCACUUUUGGAUGGUCCCGCGGCGUAUUAGCUAGAUGGUGAGGUAACGGCUCACCAUGGCAAUGAUACGUAGCCGACCUGAGAGGGUAAUCGGCCACAUUGGGACUGAGACACGGCCCAAACUCCUACGGGAGGCAGCAGUAGGGAAUCUUCCACAAUGGACGAAAGUCUGAUGGAGCAACGCCGCGUGAGUGAAGAAGGGUUUCGGCUCGUAAAACUCUGUUGUUAAAGAAGAACAUAUCUGAGAGUAACUGUUCAGGUAUUGACGGUAUUUAACCAGAAAGCCACGGCUAACUACGUGCCAGCAGCCGCGGUAAUACGUAGGUGGCAAGCGUUGUCCGGAUUUAUUGGGCGUAAAGCGAGCGCAGGCGGUUUUUUAAGUCUGAUGUGAAAGCCUUCGGCUCAACCGAAGAAGUGCAUCGGAAACUGGGAAACUUGAGUGCAGAAGAGGACAGUGGAACUCCAUGUGUAGCGGUGAAAUGCGUAGAUAUAUGGAAGAACACCAGUGGCGAAGGCGGCUGUCUGGUCUGUAACUGACGCUGAGGCUCGAAAGUAUGGGUAGCAAACAGGAUUAGAUACCCUGGUAGUCCAUACCGUAAACGAUGAAUGCUAAGUGUUGGAGGGUUUCCGCCCUUCAGUGCUGCAGCUAACGCAUUAAGCAUUCCGCCUGGGGAGUACGGCCGCAAGGCUGAAACUCAAAGGAAUUGACGGGGGCCCGCACAAGCGGUGGAGCAUGUGGUUUAAUUCGAAGCUACGCGAAGAACCUUACCAGGUCUUGACAUACUAUGCAAAUCUAAGAGAUUAGACGUUCCCUUAGGGGACAUGGAUACAGGUGGUGCAUGGUUGUCGUCAGCUCGUGUCGUGAGAUGUUGGGUUAAGUCCCGCAACGAGCGCAACCCUUAUUAUCAGUUGCCAGCAUUAAGUUGGGCACUCUGGUGAGACUGCCGGUGACAAACCGGAGGAAGGUGGGGAUGACGUCAAAUCAUCAUGCCCCUUAUGACCUGGGCUACACACGUGCUACAAUGGAUGGUACAACGAGUUGCGAACUCGCGAGAGUAAGCUAAUCUCUUAAAGCCAUUCUCAGUUCGGAUUGUAGGCUGCAACUCGCCUACAUGAAGUCGGAAUCGCUAGUAAUCGCGGAUCAGCAUGCCGCGGUGAAUACGUUCCCGGGCCUUGUACACACCGCCCGUCACACCAUGAGAGUUUGUAACACCCAAAGUCGGUGGGGUAACCUUUUAGGAACCAGC
rnacentral:rRNA from 1 species